UUUUAAUGGGUCAAUUGCAUCAUCCUCACCUAUGAAUGACAGCACUGGAAAUGGUGACUCCAUGGGUAAAUACAUGGUUUUAUUUUUCCUUUUCUUUUCUUUUUUUUGAGAUGGUGUCUCUCUAUGUUGCCUAGCCUGGUCUCGAACUCCUGGGCUCAAGUGAUCCUCCUGCCUCAGCCUCCCAAAGUGCUAAGAUUACUGGUGUGAGCCACCAUGCCGGUCCAGCAAUCCAUGGUUCCAUAUAGGUGAAUAGGAAGACUUUCUUUCUUAUUAUUUAGAUAUCUUUGAAAGAUAAUCAGUAGUUUAAAGCAAAAUUAGCUCCAUACUAAAUAUUCAUACUAGCUAUUUUAAUUUUUAUAAUUAUACUAUUGAAGUGGAUACUCUUAUGCAGACUUUACAAAUGAACAAACUGAAGUUUAGAGAUUCUAAAUAUUCUAAAUAAAUAGGUCAUAUAGGCAUAUCAUUAUACUGUCUAUUGCUCAAUGCCCUUGACAGUGCACAGUUCCUUGGCUAAAAGUAUGUGGAAGCAGGGAAAAAUGAAUCCAGCAAUUACUAUAUUUAGCUGCUUUUACAAAUGCCUCUUGGUUAAAAAAAAAAAAAAAAAGACAUUCAUUGGUAGACAUUACCACAUUGCCAAGUCACUCAUAAAUCUAAGUACGAAAGUCAGUAAAAAAGGAUGAUGUUAUCUGAUUCACUGAAAGGGAAAUAAGCUGAGAUCUGCUGCGUUAGGACAAAGGCCAGCUGGGCUUUAUGAGAAUUCAGAUGGCAAGGAACAAGCUUUUUAUGGCAAUGACAGAGGGAGAAGGGAACAAUAUUAUAAGGAAGAAUCUUUGUGGUUCAAACAGAUUAUGUGGUUUAUUAUUUUCAUUUAGAUUAGGGAAAAAAUCAGUGGGCACAGAAUAAAUAGCAACUGCCUCUUUCCCCCUCCCCAGCAAGCAGAAUAUUGAUUUCCUCUUUGAGGAAAGGACACAUUAAAAAGAAUACUCUUGAGAUGAUAAAUAUGCUAAUUAAUGUGAUCUAAUCCCUAUACAUUAUGUAUAUGGAAACACCACUAUGUACCCCAUGAAUGUGUACAAUUAUUGUCAAUUUAAAAAUACAAUUUUAAAAACACUCAUUUUAUUUUUUUAAAUUAAUUGUUCUUAUUUUAAAAAUUAUUAUUUUUUAGGGAUGGGAUCUCACUGCAUUGCUCAGGCUGGUCUCAAACUCCUGGGCUCAAGCAAUCUUCCUGCCUUAGCUUCCCAAAGUUCUGGGAUUACAGGCAUGAGCCACCACUCCCAGCCAAAAAAAAAAAUACUCAUUUAAAGCUGCACAAGUUUGAUGGCACAAGUCUGUAUAACUGGACCUGUGCCUUUAUAAAACCUCAAACACUGCAAAGGUUCAUGAAACAAUGUAUAUCUAUUCUUCUUAUUCACUGUCAUCAAUGCUGACCAGGGAAAAUUGCACAGGUGCACGUGUGUGUGUGUGUGUGUAGGGCUAGUGAAGCAGGCAACUACCAGAGAUACAUUAUUAAAAAGCUAACAUUUAUUGGCCAGGCGCGGUGGCUUACGUCUGUAAUCCCAGCACUCUCACGGGUGGUGCCUCCCCGGCAAUGGGGGUCCCAAGAUCCAGGGGGGGAAAAGGGGAUGGCUCUCAGCCACCACAAAAUGGGGGGCCUUUAUGUUCAGGUUUUGCCCAAGAGUCAGCUUAUUUGCUUCUUGUACUAGCAGGGCAGUUGCUGCCAAGGCCUCAAACAGGGGAGCCAUCCUUCAGAAACCCUGUCUAGUUGUUCAGAGACGUAGGCCACCGGCCUCAGCCAGGGCCCCACAGUUUGGGUUAAAAGUCCAGCUGCCAUCUUUUCUCUCUCUAACGCAUACAAUGGAAAAGGCUUUGUCAGAUCGGGUAGCCCCAGGGCUGGGGCUGCCAGAAGUUUUUCCUUUAAGUCAUGAAAGACUUGCUGUUCUUGGAUCCCCAUUCCAAAGGUUCCGGUCCCCGCCCCCUUUGUGACCUCAUACAAAGGCUUGGCUAAUACUGCAAAGUUUGGGAUCCACAGUCUACAAAACCCCACAUCCCCUGAGAAUUCUCUCGCCUGCCUUAGGCACUUAGGCUCCGGGAGAUUGCAAAUAACCUGCUUUCUUUCUGUUCCCGGGCUGCGUUCGGACUCCUGUCAGAUAGUAAAUCCUAAGUGGCGUCGGACCCCUGUCAGAGAGUAAAUCUCAAGUAAGGUACCUGCCAUCGGCAGAUUUGAGCUUUCUUCUUGGACACCUAAUACCCACAGUCCUCCAGGCUCCGGUAGACUGCAAAUGACCUGCUUUCUUUCUGUUCCCGGGCUGCGUUUGGACCCCUGUCGGAUAGUAAAUCCCAAGCUCCGGUAGACUGCAAAUGACCUGCUUUCUUUCUGUUCCCGGGCUGCGUUUGGACCCCUGUCGGACAGUAAAUCCCAAGUAAGGUACCUGCCCUCGGCAGAUUUGAGCUUUCUUCUUGGACACCUAAUACCCACAGUCCUCCAGGAUAACUUCAGGAAGUGGGUAUUAAUUCUCACGGUAUAAGUGAAGACAUUAAGCACCAGAGUUUAAGUAGCUUGAUCCACUGAAAGAGAUUCAACUGUGUGGAACCUAUGCCGUGGAGAAUUGCUUUCUGCCAUUGUUAUCGUCCAGCAGUUGCCGAAUAGCUCUGACCUGAGCAAAGCAGUGAAACGCGGUGCUGUUGAGUGGGUUGCCACUGCACCUUUUUCAACUACUCUAGUCUUGUGGAGAAAAUACCCCUUCUAAAUUUUUUCUUCAUUGAAUACUCUCCCUCAGCUCCAGAGUACCAUAUAGAGUUUUCUUGUAUUUUAGAGUUACUGUUUUAUCAAAGUUUACCAGUCUUUUGUAUUACAUUUCUCCUGUCUAAAUCGACUGUGUGGUUUCUACUCAUUAUGGAUAUAGAUUGAUACAAACUCAAUAAAUAUUUUUGAAUGAAUAA
rnacentral:lncRNA from 1 species